rnacentral:lncRNA from 10 species
AAAGUCUGUCAAUAUCAAGAACCAUGACAAAGCGUUUGAUGUCUAUGUAGUAAGCGGAUACUUCCGGGCCUUGUCUUGAUUGUGAUUUCUACCUGAUCAAAGUUCCCUAAGAGUCCUCGUAACCCCCCACCCCAACAAUGAGUCUUUGCGAGGAGGUGGAUCGCGAGGCAGCCGGGUGAGCACGUGCAACGAAGCCCAGCCCUGUGGGCGGGGCCCUGGAGGCGGGGCUUGAAGGUACUCACGUGGGCCUCUCCCUGCCGCUGCGGGACAAAUUGGACCGGAGAUUAAAGGACCGGAGUUUAACUCGAGCACUGAUGAAGUCCACCAGAAGUGAUGGGGAUUCCAGCUCCAUUCUGUCACACACCAGAACCUUAAUCCUUGGCUCCUUCAAGCUGGAACGCGGCUGACUUCACCUGACCCACUCCCAAACUCCUAUUCAUCUUUCAAGAUCCUGUUCAAAUGUUUCUUCAGUGGCAUCUUCCUUAAUACCUUCCACCGAGGGACAACUAGAUCCCCUCUGCUAGGUAGCAGUGUUUCAGGAGCUAAACCCUGUGACUAAGAGAGGACGGCCUGCCAUUCCCUCAGCUGUGGGUUCUAAAAUACUUUAGGACCUUGCUGGGCGCCGUGGUUCAUGCCUGUAAUCCCCACACUUUGGGAGACUGAGGCGGGCGGAUCACCUGAAGUCAGGAGUUCGAGACCAGCCUGACCAAUAUGGAGAAAACCCGUCUCUACUAAAAAUACAAAAUUAGCCAGGCGUGGUGGCGCAUGCCAGUAAUCCCAGCUACUCAGGAGGCUGGGGCAGGAGAAUCGUUUGAACCCAGGAGGCGGAGACUGCGGUAAGCCGAGAUGGCGCAAUUGCACUCCAGCCUGGGCAACAAGAGCAAAACUCCGUCUCAAAAAAAAAAAGAAAGAAAAAAAAAGUCAGGACCAUCUGGCCUUUCUCAGGAAUCUACCUUUUUGUCACAGGUUCUGGUGGUAGUGAGUUCUCUGUCCCUGGAGAUGCCAUCAGAGCCUAAGUGGCACUGCAGAAACGUGCAGCCCUGGAGUUUUGGUAGUUGAUGAAGAUUCUAAGUCAACCCUCUUUAGAUGGGCAGAAGAGUUCAGCCAAAUGCUCAGCCCCUGGAAACAACUCCUCCAGUCCUUCAGACUACAGCUCUGUUGUCCCUUCCUUCCAUAAACCUUCCCACACCUCCCUGACUAGUCACAUCCCUUUAUUCUCACUCAUAACCCCAACUGCUGAGUACAGAUCUGGCACAUAGUAGGCUCUCAAUAAUUGCUGACUGGGUGAAAGAAUGGAUAAAAACAGCUAACCUUAGGUGAGUGACUUCUGAGCCUCUAUUUCCUGUCUUCUAAGGGGAUGGGUAAUAAUGAUAGUUGCUACCUAGCAGGAAUGCUAUGAGAAUUAAACGAUGCUUGCAAAGCAAUUAAAGGUCUGGCCUAAUAAAUGGAACCUCUUACUAAU